CCUACGUGGAUGCAGAUGGCAACCCUGUCCAGGUGACCCAGCUCACAUUUCUGCGCCUGCUCAGUGCCGUCGCCCACCAGAAUUUCACCCUUCUUUGCCAGAACGUGGUUGCCUGGUAUGAGGCUGAUACCAGUGGCUACUCUCGGGCCUUGCGUUUCCUUGCGCACAGUGAAACGGAGCUGAUGCAUAACAGCACAGGAGCGCCCAUCCAUGCCUUGUACGAUGGCUGCCAGGCACGCAAGAACCGGAACGGUCCUGGAGAUUGUGGCGCCCUUGAGUGGAGUAACUACCAUUGAUAGAUGUGGCGUUGAAGAGUUUUGGGGGGGGCCAACCAGAAGUUUGGCUUUUUUGAGCUCGGGCUGUCUGCUUCGGUAUUGAACCCUUCAACCAGGACAGCUCCCUCUAGACUGUGGACCAACCUGGGAAGGGGAGGCGAAAUCCCCCUCUCCUGCAUUGGGGAGAUGCAGGAAGAACUGGCCUGCCAAGGAACCGACCUUGCAUUUAACCAGAUGACAGCCUCCCUAUUUACAUCUUUGACCAAGGUCCUGGGCAAGACUCUUCAGAGGAACAUCGCAAGGCCAGACUGAGCCAGGGCCUUCCCGAUAUGCAGCCCCAACAAAUGGUGCUAUGACAAUGCCUUAGUGAAGCACUGGACUGACUGCCUGGAACUGGCCCGUCUGCAGGGAUGGCGCAGUGGAGACCACAUCCCACACUUCUGACCUCCUCCAAUAAGGGUACAAGGUCUUGCCAGAUGCAUCUUGGGAACUCAGGACCAAUCUGCUAGCACAGCCACAGCCACAAAUAGACAUGGAUAUAGGAAUUGGAUGCAGGGAAUGGCUGAGUGGGACAAGCCACCAGAAGACUUGGAUUCUGAUUAAAACGGUGUCCAAGGUUCAAGGACUGAACAAUAAGGGAACCUAGAACCUCCAUGAUGGUCCAAUUGAAUUCUGCUCAGUUGAAAAUAGCUGCUUUGGUAUGGCAUGAUAUCUAACUAUUACAGUAUUAUCUAAGUAGUAAAGAUGAUUGGAGACAUCUUAUUGGGUGGAGUGGAGAAAGUGUCAUUUCCACCAAGAGUUGGCCAGAUGCUCUGCUCAAAGUCUGCAUCCGCCUUUGAGCAGAGUUCACUGUUGUCUGCUUCUGCCAUAGGGCUGAUGGUGCCCAUGUAAAGUAGGACAGUCAGGGGAGCUGGGAAGAGAAAGUGUCUGCCCACCUCACAUGAAAAUCCUGGCUAUGAACCUGUAGUCACUAUGACACAGUGACAAGGAACAUGAAGCACAUGAACCCUAACCCUCCUCAUCCUUCCCUGUCACUCCAUCCAUUCCAGACAGACUAUGGAGGAUUCUGGGUUCUUUUCCCCAGAUCUUAUUGUUCUGGUUCAACUCAUGUGCCUGUUCAAAUGUGGUUGGUGGUUCCACCAAUCUCAUAAUUUAAUACCCUCUUUGAGGGAGAAAGAUAAGGAAGUUCAGAUUGAGGACACGCUCCGAGAACAUACUGUGUUUCUCAUGGCUGAAAGACUUUGAGGAGAAUGGAUACAGGGCAAGAGCUUGCAAUGGCUCUCUGUGCUGUACUCUCAGCCCGCUGCGACGUGACACUUUUCAAACCCAGUGGUGCUAAAUGCCUAUAUGUUAUUGAUUCCUCCUUGUAUCUCAGGCUGUGGGGCCAGUUCGGCAUUGUGGUGUAUGUGUGUGCGUGUCUGUUACUGUAUUAUCUAACAACCUGUAUUAAACCUCAGAAUCCGUGAUUACCCCAGUCUCUGUGCCCAGCUGUCUGUUCUGAAUAAAGCAUGAACAAAAGGA